UAGCCCCGCCCCUUGCCGGGAAAUUAGCAGCCAUGCAGGCAGAAUGAGAGUGAACCUGACCGAGAGAAAAUGAUAGAUUAUUAAAAAGUUGAAUAUACAGCUGUGAUAUGUGGUUCAUCGGGAUAAAUCCGGGAAAAGGGCACCAAAGCUGUUAGGGUGAUAUCAAAGAAGAAAGAAAAGGUCACCCAGAAAAAGACCACCAACCCUCAUGUCUCCAGUCUGCUAAAAUAUAUUGUAUUUUAACUGGGACUUUAUAUAAGUAAUACACACCACACACAUAUGAGCAAACUUGCAUCACACAAAUAUCACAUACACGAGCAUCUUACACACACACACACACACACACAUGUGCAUAUUCACUAAAAAACCUAUACUCGGAUUAAGUCUUUCACUUAAUCUUUUUGUCCAGAGUUAAUCUUUUUAUUCACAUUUAUACUUAUCAUAUAAGCUUUGGGAUUUUGGUUUACCAUUUGUUUUAAUUUUAUACAAAUGUUCUGUAAGUCAGAAUCUGAUGUGGGGAAUAUUUUGAGUUAUUUUCUUUAAUGUUGUUUAGGUGUUAUUCUAAGAAAGUUUUCCAACAGUUUAAUAAAUAAUAAUAAUAAGUUUAAUUUAUAUAGCGCCUUUCCCAAGCUCAAGGACGCUUUACAAGGUCCAAUAUUUCAAGACAGAUGAAAUAUAAUGAACAUACUUAAACAUAUUCGUCGGACAUUUGCCCAGGACGAAGGAUCACAUGCAGCUGCAUGAGUUAAUAGCAGAGACAACACAGACACAAAAACAUACAGGACAAGAGAUAGAACACUACAUAGUACAUGAAACAUAAACCACAUUUCAGAAAAUGAAGGACUCCUAAUACAUAUGCAUUUACUUUAAGUGGAGGUUGAAAAGGUGGGUCUUAAGCCUUGAUUUAAAUUCAGUCAAAGUGGUGAUGGUUCUGAGUGCAAUGGGUAAGGAGUUCCAUAGUGUUGGAGCAAUGACAGAAAAGGAUCUGCCACCCGCAGAGGAUAGACGGUAUCUAGGAACACAUAGAAGUUCAGAAUUUGAAGACCGGAGUGAUCGUGAAGGAACAUAGGAUGAGAGAAGAUCGGAAAGAUGGGGGGGGGGAGCAUUUAGUGCCUUAUAAGUGAGCAGUAUGAUUUGAUAUUUUAUGUGAGAUGAGACUGGCAGCCAGUGAAGAUCAAAUAAUAUAGGGGUAAUGUGGGCAGAUUUUUUAUUGGAGGUUAACAUUCUGGCAGCCGAGUUUUGUAUGUACUGUAAACGUGAGAUUGAGUGAGCUGAUAAACCAGAGAAGAGUGAAUUGCAGUAGUCGAGACGGGACGUAAUCAGAGCAUGCACUAAUAUUUCUGCAUCAUUUCUGCAGAUAAAAGGUCGAAGUUUGACAAUGCGUUGCAGAUGGAAAAAAAGACGUUUUAGAGAGGCUGCGAAUAUGGGCAUCAAAGGAUAGUGAGGGGUCGAAUAUGAUACCUAAGUUUCUAACAAUAGCUGAGGGGAAAAUCGUAGUAGCAUCCAGAAAAAGACUAAAGUCCACAGAGUUGUUUUUUAUUAGAGAUGGGGGACCAGUUAUCAGAAUGUCGGUUUUACCCAGAUUCAGGCUAAGAAAAUUUGAGUGUAGCCAUAGUUUUAACUCGCUAACACAAGAGGAGAGUGAGGAUUUUACAUUAGGAGAAUCUGGUUGACAAGCAGUAUAUAACUGAAUAUCAUCAGCCUAACAAUGAUAACUAAAACCAUGUCAAUGAAUGAUGUUACCAAGCGGCUGAAUGUACAGAAUGAAUAGUAGUGGGCCAAGAACAGAGCCCUGUGGGACACCCUGUUUAGGUAAGAAAGUAGGAGAUUUGGAAUUGUGUAUAAAGAUGUGAUAUUGCCUGCCCGUGAGAUAAGAGGAAAACCAGGAUAGUGCAGAGCCUGAUAUGCCAAAUUCCGUGGGAAAGUAAGAUCUUAUGACAGACAGUAUCAAAGGCAGAGCUGAGGUCUAAUAACAGAAGUAUAGAGAGACUACCUGAGUCUCCAGUGAGUAAAAGAUCAUUAACAACCUUUACUAGCGCGGUCUUCGUGCUAUGCUGUUGGUGGAAGCCAGAUUGUAAAAUAUUGAAGAGGUUGUUACCAGCUAGGACUGACUGCAGCUGAGAGGCCACAGCCUUUUCCAUGUUCUUCGAUACAAAUGGCAGGUUGGAGAUAGGGCGGUAGUUGGAUAAGUCUGCUGGGUCCAGAUUAGUCUUUUUGAGUAUAGGAGUAACAGCAGCAGUCUUAAGUGACAGUAGAGGAGAUAAAUGACAUAUUAAUGAGGUGGGAGAUGGGGGCAGAAAUCGCCGAUGUACAGUCUUUUAGCAGGAAAGUAGGUGCAGGAUCAAGAGUGCAUGAUGAGAAGUUAGAUUUUUGUAUUAACUCUGAUUAAUGAGGAAUUGGUUAAGGCUAGGGUUGUCAUAGAAAUAUUAGAUUGAGGUUUCAUACGCACAUCGUUAGUUGGUUCCUCACCAAAUGUCGCAUACAGAGUAUCUAGCUUACCCUGAAAAUGGUUCAAGAAAGAGCAGCACAUAACCAUGGAUUCAGAGUCACUAAGGCUGUGCUUUGGUGCUUGAGUCAGUUUAUUAAUUGUGCUAAAUAAUAUUUUGGGCCUAUUGCUUGCUUUGUUAACGAUGCUGGUGAUAUGGGAAGAGCGGGCUGUAUUUAAGACCAGUUUGUAUUGCUGAAGGCAUUCAGCGUAUAUAAGAAAAUGGCCAGUUAACCCAGUUUUCCUGAACAGACGUUCAUGUUGUCUAUAUUAAAAGAAGAGAUGUUUUAAAACAACAUUUAAAGCUGCUUUAUUUCUGUUAGAUUUUAAGUCAAUAUUUCAUAGGGUACAUUUAUACACUGUAUACAUUUAUGGAUGUUGGCGUGUUGUGUGCUAAUCCCGGUUGUAGGACAUCGCAAAAGAUUUGUGUCAACAUGGAAAACACUUUAUAACUGCAAAGGAUUUGAUUUCUUUUAUUAAAGGUGUGUUUUGUGUUGUAGCAUGUGAGUGACACUUGUCAGAGAAAAAAAAGAGGUUUAGCAUAAUUCACACCACUGGCGGUUGAAGUAAACAAUAAUCUCUGAAUCAUGAAACAGAUUGUUUUUCUGACCUUUUACCAUCUUGUCAGCUGAUUUUGAGAAGGGGGAGGAAUGACAGGAGGUGUGUUCGACUUGAAGCGCCGCUGCACAGACUAAUCGGUUUCUGACAUCAAAGUGACGGGAGAGCAGUUUGAAAGCAGGUGGAGCAGACGGCAAUCUAAUAGUUCUCGCAGUACUUUGACGUCAUACACUGAAUGGUCUGCGCAGUUCCGCUUUAAGUCGAACACACCUACACCCUCAGUUAACAUGCGCGUGACCACAAGCACCGCAAUCCUUUACAUGACUCACAAAUCACAUUACCUGAUCAAAAAAUGCUUUCGCGCAAGUUUCUUUCAAAAGUCUGUUUUCUUUCCGUUUUUUUUUUUCCUGGGACAGUCCUGUAUUUCAGCUCUAUUUUAAAUAUCUCAACUUGUUAUGAAAAAAUGUUUGUUCUGUGUUUUUUCAUUUUUUCUAAAAUCACUGAAACCAGAUGUGUGCCUUGGUUGAAAACUGAUAUCACUGAAAAGUAUCCUAAACCAGGUUUAAAUCCUGUAAGUGGGUGACAACACUACUGAGGCCGGCGACGGGAAUAAAGGGAAGAGAGACGCCAACCUCCAGGAGAGAGAUCCCUGCGAGAUGUGUGUGUGUGUGUGUGUGUGUGUGUGUGUGUUGGUGUUGGUGUGUGUGUGCGCGCACGUGUGUGUGUAUUUGCAUAAACAGUGAAUUUAACUGAUCUGUUCAAAACUGGUCACUGUCCUGAGAGUGUUCCUUCCCCUGAAACGCUUGCCAUCCCACAGAAGGCAUGCUGUCUGCAUCAUCAGAAUUUUAAUUUGGUCAGAACUUGCUUGAACCCCCUGGAUUUCAACAUUAAACUCCAAAUCACAGCCAAAAGGGGCAAACUAACAUUCUCCAGACUAGUAGAGCUUGUUUGCACCUCAGAGUUGUCUACAAUAAUCCAAUUCCUGCUGUUCUCUUUUCCAGAAUGUGUUGUAUUUUUGUUUUGUAGGCAUUGUUAAUCACUACAGUAAAAAAAAAAUAAAAGACAUAGAAUGGCAG